GGUGUUCCGAAAAAAGUGUCACAGUUUCAAACGUGUAUUAUAAACGCUUGACAAGUAUUAACGCAUUAAAACAUACACCAUAUGAAAGCUCACGUUUGUCGUUUUUCAACAAGGUUACUCUCGUAUCAGUGCUAUAACUCCUUGCCAGAGGGCAGAGGAGUUCCUGCGAUCACAAGUUUACGCGAACUUCUUGUAGUUCACGUUCUCGAUAUGGGCACCACCGCGGUUGAGACACGCCUUGAUUCUGGCCUGGAAACUCUCAGCGACUUUCGUCAGAGUCUCGGGACCGACUUGAUGCAGGUAUCUUUCGACGUUCUGCUUAAGCUGGACCAGUGUCUUGGGCUUGCCUGCGUACACAGUGUCCUUGGCAGCCCCCCACAGCCAAAAGUCUAGCGGGUUGAGAUCAGGGCUGUGGGGAGCCCACUCAUGGGCGGUGCCGAGAGACAUGAGGCGAGCGUUGAACAGCUCCUUAAGGCAUUCGAUACUCUCACGCGCAGUGUGAGGCGGAGCUCCGUCUUGCAUGAACCAUGCCUGUUGCAGUUGGUUAUCGGUGAGCAUAUCGGUCAGAUCCGCGUAGAAUUCCCGGAUGACCUCGCGGUAGCGCUCGCCAUUGAUGGUGACGGUCCGGCCAUCUUCUUCGAACCAGUAGGGACCGAGGAGGCCGUGAGUGGCGUUGUAGGCCACGAAGGCAGUGACCUUCGGGCCCUUCAGCUGCUUCUCCGUUACUUCUUCCGGUGGAUGCGUCUUACGCUGGUUUUAGCAAGUCCGAGCUGUUGAGAGCGUCGACGGAGCGACUUCUUGGGACUGGCAAUGACGGAAUUUCGCACGGCCGCGAUGGUCUCUGGGGACUUUGAAACCGAUGCUGGCCUGCCGCUGCUGCCCCUGUGAGUAUUCAGGACUGAACCUGUUGUCUCAAAAUGGUUAACAAACCUUGCAAUGAGUUUGUUGCAGGGCAGAUCUCGAGUUUCCAUGUCACACUCGCGUCGAAGUCGGCGGCGGACGGUGACGUACGAUUUCGUCUCGAACCAUAAUCGGA